AUCUAGCUGACGAGUCUCAAAUAGGACGAAACGUGCGUCCUGGAU
rfam:Schistosoma curassoni strain Dakar, Senegal genome assembly, scaffold: SCTD_contig0001944